rnacentral:snoRNA from 1 species
AACCAAACAAAAAAUAAGCAAAAGAUCAAUCGUAGCAGCUGUGGCAUCCCACUGUGGGAAAGAAAGUGAUACACAGUUAAAUACCUCUUUCUUAACCAAGAAGAAAGUGGGCAUGUGUGUGACAGUGUAAA